ACAGGUGGUGCAUGGUUGUCGUCAGCUCGUGUCGUGAGAUGUUGGGUUAAGUCCCGGCAACGAGCGCAACCCUCGUCCUAUGUUGCCAGCGGGUCAUGCCGGGGACUCAUGGGAGACUGCCGGGGUCAACUCGGAGGAAGUGGGGAUGACGUCAAAUCAUCAUGCCCCUUAUGUCUUGGGCUUCACGCAUGCUACAAUGGCCGGUACAAAGGGCUGCGAUACCGCGAGGUGGAGCGAAUCCCAGAAAGCCGGUCUCAGUUCGGAUUGGGGUCUGCAACUCGACCCCAUGAAGUCGGAGUCGCUAGUAAUCGCAGAUCAGCAACGCUGCGGUGAAUACGUUCCCGGGCCUU
rnacentral:rRNA from 1 species